rnacentral:lncRNA from 1 species
CCUGACUCUUCCUCUAUCUAAUCUAAUCCUAUGUAGAAGAUGAUGAUUAGGAGUAGCUAAUCAAUCUCUAAUCCCUGGCUCUAAUGGCUCCCUCUAAUUCUUAGAUGAGAAUAAAAAUAUAACUUUGUUUUGCUCUCUCAAUUCUGAGCUCUCCUCUAGGGGGUAGGCUUGUAUUUAUAGCCCCCCUAGGAAGCACCACAACCCAUGGAUCAAACUGAUU